AACGCUGUGCAAUUUGUUUACACGUUGUUGAAUUUUUCUUCAACUUUGCGCAAGCUUAACGCAUCUACACGCAUAUAUAUGUCAAUAUAAAUACCGGUAUAAAUUUGUUUCAGUAAAUGGCAAUACAUCGUACGAUCCUUACACGAUCAACUAUUUCCUACCACGCUGUCCCAAUACUUUCUUCCUUCGCAGUACAUACGUAUAUAACGUUACCUAGUUGAAUUUACGAACGUUCCUCCACGUAGCAGUUUCCACCGUUUCGCUUGGAAAUAUUUUAAGCAUCGAAUUCGUGUGUUCGAAAUUCGAAUUAAUCAAAGUCACAGACGCUGUCUCAUCCCACGCGGUAUCUGGCAACGCGGGAAAUAGAUUUAUCCGUACAGGAAACUAAAUUCGGUCGGGCAGCUCGGUACAAGGACCGCAAAACGUAUCUUGCCCUAGUCCUAACAGCCGAGACCUAGUUGGCCAAGUUGUUCACGUUUCGUCCUACCAGAAACAUACGAAAUUGUCAACCGACGAGAACAUAGAUAUAGAAAUGGGUUAGGAUGAACGAAAGCAGUGACCGAAGAACCGGCGGAAACCAUGCGAGUACACGUACACGCGUUAUCUUCGUCUGGUGAACCUGUUUCUCCUUCGUAUGGAAUCUAUUCGUUUGUUCGUCGUGUGGUUUGCGCAAGUAGGGAGAGGAAUACGACGAUCAUGGUCGUUUCCUUUGCAGCGGAAAAUUUUAAGUAUUCCUCCACGAUACCUCUCGUAGCCUCGUUCGGGUCUCCGAUACGUUCGAGUGUACUUCUUGGAAGUUUCUGAACAACGACGGUGUUUCUCAGCAGUUCAGCUUUUGUCCUUUUGUGCGUUUAUUUAAUCCUUUGGUUAUCGCGAUAACGUUUUUCUAAAGUUUUGUCAAAAUACAGAGUCAAGAAAGUUGGAUUAAGUGGAUACUCGUAUGUCGUAAACGCUUUGCAGCUAUUUUCUUCGAAGUUUCACGAGGAAGACAGAUGAUAAAUUUGUUACUAUUUUUAGUACAGAGUAGUGGCCGUAGGCUGUUAAUUCGCAACACAUUAUACACGUAAUCCUUCGCGAUACUCUGAUCUUCUACGCUAAAUUGUUUUGAUGAAAAACAAGGCAACGUCACUAUUCUCAGCUGAACGUGGUGAUUAAUUUAUCGCCAUUGUCCAUGACGACACUUCGUUGGCGCAUUACGCACAUGUUUAGUUCUUUUAUUCUCUUGUAGUUUUUUUUUUUUUAUUCUUUCAUAUCUUAUAAUCCCUUUCGAGUAAGAAAAAUAAGUUUUUAUAUCUUCCGGAACAGACGUUUAUUUAUAGUUAUGAUUUCUAAAUAUAUUUAAUAGCUUAUCCAAGCUUGACAACUUUUACGAAAAACAUCGUUUCUUAUAGAUAACUUCUUGUAUUUCAUGUACAGUCGAAUAUCGCAUAGAUACAGACGAUCUUUCCAUCGAAAAAGCGUCUAUCGAUCGGUCUAUCAGAUUUACUGGUUGAGUAGUUUUCUCUGCAUACGCUAAUUACACAAGUUGCUAGUCAGUGAGCUGCUGCGAGCUUCUAUUCUGCUUUUAUAAUUUAUGACCGUUUUAAUUAUUUCUUUGUAGGCAAAAAUUAAAUGCUUGUCCGAUUGAAAAUUGAAACGGAGGUAGUUUAAGUGGUCGUCGUUAGACGUGGAUACGCGGUGACAAACGAAAAGGUAGAUGGACCGUGGUGUGGUAAAUGUUCCGUAAUCUUCGCCAGAUUUUCCGAGUUCACCCUCCUUCAGUUUGCCCUCUCCACAUCUCUCUCUCUCUCCCUACUCUGCCCAUUUCUUUAGACGUUUAAGCUUCCGCGAUGCACUUCAAGGUCUCGUCUCCGUUUAUUCGUCGCUCUGGUUUCUGUGUUCUGCACGUGUUAUUAUCGUGUUUCUCUUCGUCAUGCAACGUAUUAUAGCCGUUUGAAAUGAUAUUUAAACGGGAAGACGGCUCGCCAAAUCCCCAUAACGAGGACUUUCAUGGGACUACGUCACGUUAUGUUACGUGCAAGCGGGCUUUGCUCGUGCUUACUACGCCUACGGACAUUUAUUUCAGGCCACCUUAGAAUUUGCCACGGCGACGACACGAGGGCAGUGAUUUCGUUCGGAAAGGUCGAUCGCGAAUUUCCUUGGAUUUUAUAAAUAUUUCAAUCACGUUGAUCAAUAACCACGAGACCGCUCGAUCGCGUUUUAAUGCCACCUAUCAGAUAAAUUCCAAGCAGGAAAAUUACCGCGAAAUGGACCACCGCCAGACGAAUAAAUCAACGAAUUUUAAGCGUGCUUUUGCGCGCGUGUUUCGUCUCGAACGAACGAUUUGGAAACUAGUUAUUCCUUCAUCGACAAGACUUUUUACGUUUCUGGCAUCCGACAUCUUUGACUUUUUGUGAAAAAAUUAAUAUCAAUAGUUACGUUACUUAUGAUACGCGAGUAGAUUGCAUCGCAAUGACGCUACAUUACCCAACAAUCAGCGAUUUUAUCAGGUGUCUCAAAUUCUUUAUUAGAGCGUUAAUGCUUUCUUUUCAACAAGUUUUACGUAUAUAUAUAUAUAUAUCUUCUCUAAAAUUCGAUUGUAAUUUGAGUCAAAUGUUAUUCGAGUCCGAGCUGCGUAUCUAUAUCAUCGCUAUCUUUUGCAGUAACCGAUUGAUUCGUCGUAUCGUUUCAUGGACGUAACAACGAAAAACAUAAUUUUCACCGGGCGUUUUGUUGCGUUGUCAUAGCGAUGCUAAAUCGCCCGUAGUAUCCGACGUUUUGUAAAAAGCCACUUCCAGUCUCUCCCCUUGUGUGCCGUUUUUUUUAAAAAUACACCACAAUAGCGAUCCUGUCUUUUUUCCUUGGGCUACGACAAAUAAGUUGGUUAUUUAUAAACGAUGCCUGCGCUUCUCAAGGAAAAUGCGUUGUAUUAUUAAUAAACGCGUAUUCCUCCGCGAAAACUUGAUAGCAAAUAAAACUCGAACUUUCACAUUUAUCCCGCCGAGCGUUAUUUUCCCUUUUCAUUUCGUUUCGAAGAAGAUUCUUCGCGCUACCUCGCAACAACGUCGAACGCGGCGUUCGAUGAUCGAAAGAUACGCAAUGAAAUUUCUCGAUAAAGUUACGUACACGAGGAAUAUCGAGAAUACCGUCAAGAAGUAACGAAGGAAAAUAAAUCAAAUUAGUCAGUGAUGGAAAGACUCAUCCGUUUGAUAAAGUAAUAUUUUUAUUACAUGACUAAUUUAUACAUACAACGCGUUUGGAUUUUUAAAUAUUCCAAGACCUCUCUCCGUAUUAGCAUAAGAAUAUUCUAAUUAUACUAAUAUAACAAUUACUUCGAGUCCGCUAUAAAUUGUCGUAUAAAUUCUUUGAUUUUCUCAAUUUAAUAAACCCCAUUAUUUCGAAUUAAUAGUAUGAAAAUGCACGUAUAUUAACAUUGUUGGUUUUAUUAGAAAUGUUCGAUAAACAAGUGGUUCGUUAUAUAUAGAGCUCGCUCGCCAUCAUUUAACAGAGUAAAUAUGUUUUACAUUGAUUAUAGAAAAUAUUAUUAAUAGAGGAUAGACUGAGUAGAGAGAAGGAGAGAGAGGGAGAGAGAGAUAGAAGGAGGUAGCAAUAAUUUCGUGUACUUACAAUUUAUUCCACCCGAUAUAACAGUUUCAGAAGACAACGAUGAACAUUAAGGUUUACGACUAUUCAAACAAACUUAGUCAAUUUCUUUUAGAAACAUCCAAUCGUUUUGUAUAGUAUUGUACAUGCUCUGAUUCCGAAUAUAAUUCACUUUUUCUCCCAAUAACCUUUCCAGUGAACUUGGAAACUUAUCAAUAUCGAAGCGUGGAGUUACCCCGAGGCAAUCUGUCCUCUUCGAAAAUGCAACACAACGAAGUAGCUCCGUCCGAACUUUAGGAUAUUUGUUCCAAGUAGAGUAAAAGCUUAUAACGAACAUAGAUCGAGAAGUAAUUUUCGUCGGGUUUACGAUAUGUUAACCGAAAUAUUAAUUUCUUUUAUCGUUGGAUGUGGCAUAUGUUCUCCGUUUACGUUGAUACAAAGGUCCUUUAUGCAUACGUAUGUCUGUUUACUGACUUAUACUAAUCGCUGUUACUUUACCAUAUAAACGCGAUAAUCGGAUGCGACGUGAUUAAAACUGUAUGAAGCAGCGUAAAUAAACCAGGCGCAGAGAACAACGAUUUUUAUACUUUACCUGAUUAUCUUUUUAUUUUUGUCAUUUUGUUGUGGUUAUAUAUGUAGUGUAUCGUGGUACUCGGUGUUUAAACAGCGUACCAGAUUAAGGACGUCGAAACUUCACACGCAGCUCGUGCUUAAUAGGCUUCAAUUUCACGAAUUAAAAUUAAGUAUCGUUCUAAAUAUAAGCUUCGUUACAUUUUCAUCGCUAUUUGCAAAAGAAGGAUAAUAAUGUUAGUUCAAUCGCGCAAGAAGGCGACGAUAAAAGGUUCUUUAAAUGAUAAAACGUUUGGGAAAAUUGAAAGCCAUAAGACGAAAAUAUGGCAAAUUCAUCUUUAUUUUCUGAUUUUAUGUUACUCGAUAGCUAAGAGGGAGUAUUUUAAUGUGGCAUAACAGGUCGCCGGAAAGGGGGAAGAAGCUAUUAUGUGCAAAAAUAUGAGGCCUCGUAAAGAUGGGUAUUAUAUCUCCGAAUUUUUAUUAAAAGCUAAGGGCUUAAAUAAUAUCAUGACAAGCGAUAUUUUCAAAAGAAACAAUUUUACUACCACGAGAAUAGUUAUCGGCAUAUUCGAUUGAAAAAUUGCUUCCCUACGAAGAACGAACUAUAUAACUUAUCGUAUCUUAUCACUGUGGCCUUAAAUUCCGAGCAUCGAUUCUGUUUGCAGCGAGAAUUUCAUUCAUUAAAGCGAAUUUUCUUUCGUCUCUGAAGGUAAGUUUCUAUUAUGCGAAGAAAAGUACCCGUAGCAAACUGUAGAUGAAUUGUAGUAAGUGAAAUUAAUACGAACUUCAGUUACAUCGACUAUUUUUUAUUCAUCGAUGCAAGUUGAUAUAGUUUUACCGUGUAACAUAUUAGUUUUAAAAAGCUAAUAUUAUCGCGUCGUAACAAAAUUACUGCAAACUAUUUUGUAAUUAAAUAUGCAUCCUAUAAAAAAUGAGCAAGAGCAUCAGACUACGAGUUCUUUGAGCGGUAGUGUACCAUACCGAUCGUAUAAAAAUGGCCUUUUGCCUCCACCCCUUCUUUUCCGUUCCUUUCUCGAUAGAGCAUGAUAAAUAAGCGGUUGGUUAUUUAUAUACGAUAUCUGUGAUUCUUGAAGAAGAUGUAGUGGUCUACACACUUCUGCCAAUUUCCCUCUUGCUCCCGCUCCCUAUAUGUAUCCUUUCCUCGCUCGUUUCUACGCCGACAACCUCGAUAAAGGAGGCGAGGCGCUCCUCUGAACGUUGAGACGCCACUUCGGAAAUGUACCGACCCGAUCGAACGCCUAUUGAUUACGUACGGAAAUAAAGUAAAAAGGUAGGAGGCUCCUUUUAACGCCACGGAUAUAUGCGCCGUUCGAACGUUACCGCGUCAAGCUUCUUCGCAAGACGAUCUACCUUCAUCAUGCGUUCUCCAUCAUCAGUUUUUCGCUCUUCUCUUCUCGUAUCUACAAUCCCAUUCUUUAUUUUCUUUUUCUUUUUAUUGUUAUAAUUUUCGUAUAUGCGAUCUAUCGUACAACGAUAAUCGGCACAGGUCGGUGACUUAAAUCGACACGAAUAUAAACACAUCCAGAGACGUAUCGUCGUGAUGUUACUCAGCUUACGUGGUUAAAUCUAUUUGGUAGACGUAAAAGGUGUCUUCGAUUUUCCCUAUUCUCCCUUGGUGUCCAGUAAUUUCGUAGCCAGAUUGUUGGGACGAUUUUUCAGCCGUUGUUGAUAUAACCCGUUGUGUCUGCUGAUUUCUUAGUUUACGAUGGGUCUACCGGUUUCUUUCUUUGUUUGUUUGUUCGGCACGUACCGAUCUGUUUUCAAAACGCCUCUCAAUUUUUUGUUUUGUCAUGUUUCUAUUGAUUUUAUCGGAAUUCGCGGAUGUGCUCCCUUAAUCGACAGGAGUAUAUUUCACACGGGCUUGAAAAUAGUUCUGCGUGUCCGCAGUUUGUUGCAAGUUUGUUGUUAGCGUUGUUCUUAGCUGUGAGUUCUUGUCGAUCAACCACCAAAGUUUUCUGCCGUUCGUUCAAUCGCUCUAUUUUCUUGCGUUUUUCAAUGAUAAUUUUUUGUCAAAGUAUAGCAGCUGUGAUAGUAAUUUAAUUUUACUGCAGGGCAUGCUCGCUUUUUACGAUGAAUUUCACGCGUGUAGAUUUCGUAGUAUUGAUUCCAGUUCUUCGUGUUUUUAGCCAAUAUUCUAUCUCGUUGAGACGUUGUUGCAGUUUAUUUGAAGUUUCACGCGAAUUUCGAUCGCACGCUAAUACAGCCGUAUCGUCGGCAAACGUAGCAGUUCAGGUAUUCACCGAAUUGGUACUAUUCGAAACUCUCGAUAUUUCUGGGCAUCGUCUUGAACCGAAUAUAUCGCAAAUAAUAGUAAGCUAAAAAUCAAGGCUCGCCUUCGAGAAAUUUAACGAAGUUGUUAAUUAUCAUCUUGUUUAUAAUUCAGCCGUGAAACGUAUGUUUAUUAGUAAUUCUUGUCGUUGAUUAGGGUUGCAGUAAAACUAAUUAAAAACAUCGCUCGCAUGGAAGACGAGCUUUGGUUUUCUUCGAAAACACGAUUACAUAGUACGUGAUAAGAUUUUAAAGAAAACAUCUCAAAGAUCGUGUAUGAGAUGUACUCGCGUAUAUUCAAGAAGAACGUUGAAAAUGACAAAAGCGGAGAACAUGUUUCUCUAAAAAGAAAAAAAAGAGGCAGAAUAUCAUUUGCAUUAUUAUUACGCGAAAUUAUUAAUCGAAUUAUCGACAGUAUGCAUUUAAGGCACACGCGUAUUCACCGCCAAUUGCUCUUUCUCUUCCUUCCUGUUCUUUAAGUUCGUUUAAUUUUAAUUUUAUCUUACGUUCUUUCGUAUUCAUAGAGUAGAUUUUUGGAAACACUUUGGGUGAAUAUAGAACUAUGUAUGGUUUACGCGGAUGUAUGUAUUAGCAGGGCAAUUUUCUGAAUUGGUGGUUUGUCACCUUUGACCCGGUAACCGGGCUUCCUUAGUUUCCACGAUGAAACGACAAGAUGCGUAGGCGACAUGCGUCGAAGCCAGUCAGAUUGCGUGGAUCGAAGUAGUAACACAUUUUCUUAUUCCUAAGAUUCCUUUAUACGUGGCUUGCACCGUUUAGAUCCAUCUGAAAGGGAAAUGGAAAUGGAAACUCACGUAAAUGUUAUAGAAAGGAUAUUAUAAUUAUUCCUUAAAUAAAUAAAUUGCAACUUACGAAUAAAUACUAGCUCCAGAUGAAUCCAGUUUAGACAGCUCCUUUGGCCAAUCUUAUACGUAAAAAGGAAAAGAUAUGGAGGAUAGGAAAAUUGGGGAAUUGAUAUUCGCGUAAAACAAUGGGAAAAUUUGGAAAGCUUCUCGACCCGAACGUUACACGAUGCCGGAAAGUUAUGGCCGGAUAGAUUUCUUUGCGUAUCCCAAAGAUAUUCGAAUCUAUUACUUCAAGUGGUAUUUUCUGUCACUUUGAAAGCAUUUUUCAUUGCCACGAUCUACCGUUUCUUAUAAAAAGUAUCUAUCCGAAAAAGAUUUGUCCUUUAAACUCUAUUCAAGCUCUAUAGCUUUAAUCUAUCACGUCACUAUCGUGUCACCAUCUAUUCUUCAUCCGCGAUACUCGGACAUAAAAAAGGACAGAAUGCUUGAUAAAUUGUAUCUCUAAAGGCUAGUCCUUUUAAACUCACAAAUUGGCUAUUAAGGGUGGCAAUUACUUUUCAAAUGAAAAACUUUAGACAACGCUCUUCUACUUUAAUGUAAUACCAAAGUAAAAUGAAGCAGUCGCGUCCUUUUGUUUGCAGCAUUCUGCACGAGCAGAUAUGUAUUUCGUUAAAACUUGCGCAACUUCUGUCGAGCAGCUUGCCAAUUUCCUUUUAGACGUACCAUCGACUCCUGUUUCCUUUCAAACUUUCGUCAGAAAUUUUUCUUCCUCCGCCUUUUCUGCCUUGCUACAGCGCGUCAGUAAAAUCGCGCAUACCCCGACGAGAAUCGGGUGCAAAAUGUUGACGAAAUGGUUGAUGGAACGAACGAGAUAUAGAGUUAGCUGCAUGUACGAUUUUAUACGGCUCGGUUAGAGCACGUAAGGGUAUCUCAGUCGAGCAGUUUGAGUUACAGAUGGUACGAGGUCCCGGGCUUGGGAAAUCAAUACCGUCAAAACCUCCCCUGGUCCUGUGUCACAGCUAUCCCUAUUCCUCGUGCCAGCUGUAAAGUCGUAGCCCCGCUCCACGCAGAAUACCUUGCCUUCGAUCACUUUUCUCGAGGAACGGUCGGGUUUUAAAGCGAACAAUCGAGAAUCAGCUCGUUCUUUCUUUUCUCCUUUCCUUAACCUUCUCAGCUUGUUCGACGUACACGCGUAGGUUUCUUUACACAUCUCUGUUCCUUUGUAUCGGAUUGGUUCGUAAGCUGGUGGAAUUUUGCCCGCGCACGAUUAUCUGACACAUAGUAAUAGGACAAUUUAUUCGUGAUUUGUAAAAUUUCGUUAAAUUCUUAAUUUCAAUUUUUUUUUUUUUUUGGAUCGAUCGUGCUAUAGGAUGCAGGAUGGCUGCAUUCGUUGCAAAUGAAAUAACGCGUCUUUUGUCCGAUAUUUCUAGCUAUUAAAGUCUUUGGUAAUUCGCCAGAAUAACUUCGAUACCGACACGAUCUUCGCUAUUUAGGAAGAAUCAUGAAUAUUUGAAAUGCUGUCGCCUUCAAACGCCGGCUCUUUGAAGAUCGUCUUCGAUCAUUCGGAGAUUCGACUCGUCGAGAAACUGUCACGGAUCUAAAUACCACUCCGUGAGCUUCAAGGCUAUUAAAUUACGUUACCGCCAAUCCGAAUUUACGGCGCGUUAUUGAAUAAGCUCCAGAUGAUACGCGGUAAUCCGGCGCACGAUCGAAGUUUAUAUUUAACACGGGAACAGCGAACGUAUCGAUAGGCAUUAAAUUUAAUAAAUACAUAUCAGUAACAUAGAUAGCAUUUGGUAUUAUGGUGCUCGCCACGGAUCAUCCAAUGUAUCGUCAUUAUCGUUCGCAGUGACACGGUAACCCGUAUGGCCCAGCGUAUCUCGGCUAAAGAUCGAUUUACAUCGAGCCGAAUACGUCGAUGGAUUCGCAAUCGCGACUAUUAAAUUUUUAAUGAAACCGAGCGCGCCGGCUGCUGUCGUUUAAUUAAACAGGUGAAUCGCGCGAGAAACGACGAACACCGUGUAGCCUAGCGAGAGAUGUUCGACGAACAAACGCCGCUAACAGAAUCUUCGUGGCUGCCUCGAAAUAUCGAUCUCCAUUAUCUGUCAAUCAACGUCGUCGAUCAGCAAAUGGGAAACACGUUACAUGCGUGCACACGUUGAUUCGUCGCGAUGCUUACAGAGAUUCCCUUGUUCGCUGAUUUUCCUACUCGUUUCGCGAUAAGAUCUAUAUAAUUACCCUUUCUAAGGUAGAUAGCGGUUAAGCACGAGCGAUAAAAGCAAAAAAUAUCUUUCUCGAAAAAUACCUUUUCUUUCGACCGUGUCAUAAAUCACGUAGAUCUGAAAUAAAAUAAAUAUUAUCGUACCGCUUUUGAAAUUCUCUCUUGGACUCUUGAAAUUCUCUUUACCGAUAGACCUCUAUUUUUAGAAUUCAUCCCCUAUACGUCGUGUUGCGAAUAAAAUUAUAUGUUCUCCCCUUUGAAUUAUUAAUCUCGUGUAAUUUUCGCGAUUUCUUGCUACAAAGCAAUUUGUAAUUUUUCCUAUUUCGUAAAAAAAAAAAAAACGAAUAAUUGCAGCGAUUGUUGUCAACCAUCGACUACGACGAUGUACAGUGUUUCUAUUUUUAAUAAAUUAUCGACUAGUCGACUGAGUUUGAUAAGAGCGACGCUAUCGAUUCGAGUAAUUUCUAGAGUAUCGUAAGACUUGUGUGUAAAAUGAUUAUUUGUAUACUUAUUGGCAAAUGUUUUCUUAUCGUUUAUCUUAAGUAUUCCUACGAAGUAGUCUAACGGAUAUUUUAUCGUUUCUUUUAUCGAAUUGUAAAGUGGAAUUAUGAAGUGGAUCGAUGUUUGCUAUCUUUAAGUCCUUCAGUCGAGACAACAUAAGUGUGAUCGAAGUAUUAUCGAAAUAUUUUUAAGAAUUUGAAAUUAACGUGAAUCGUGUAGAAGAACGUGUAUAACUUUACUCUUGAGUAUUUGCAAUAGAUUAAGCAGAUGCGCGUGAGAUAACGAUCGUAAAUCAUAAUUUUAAUGUGUCGUUUAAACGCUAGAAAUAUCGGUUCGGUUAUUUAAUAACAUUCGAUAAAGGCAAAUAAAUAAAGCACGUUGUUAUAUUUAUCAUCGAACGAUUAAUCUGCCAUUAACCAAUUAAGCAUACUCUUUAACAGUAUACAUGUUUAUAAUAGAACGAUAUAGUGCAAUUCAAUGUUCUAUUCAUGUAAAUUAAUUACUUGCGGUUUUAAUUAAUCAAAUAGAAUCGAUUGUUUCUGUCCUACGUACCGAGCAUCUGGCGUAUAUCGAAUAAAAUGAUAUUCGAAGUGAUUAAUUGGUAUUGCCAUGUACAGUGAGUGUAUUAUAGAAUUUUCAUUUAAAGAUAUAAAGAUAUAAAAGAGAAAUACAAAAAGAUCAUCCAUUGUUUCACGUCUAAACGAUUUCUAGGUAAUUUCUCUAUUAGUAAUUCAACAACUUUUAAAAACAAAAAUAACGUGAAGAGAAAUUAUCGGAUAUUCGCUACAUACCAUUACUGCUUUUAUCGAAUAUCACACCUUAGAAGUUAUUUUCAUGAAACGAACAAACUUCAAACGUAGCCGUCGUUCUUGCCCUGAGAAACUUAUGGAUACGUUAGAAGACCCGUUAGGACGAUAAAAUGAUAAAUGGUAAGGUCUUCCAGAUUUUUCGUAAUCGUGGUAUCGAUGAAUCAGUUUGUCGGAGAUGGAUGAAUUUGAAAGAAAUAUAUAUAUAUUAGUCGCCAAGUAUUAAUCGUUCUUACGUAAAAGCAGAUUUAAUGGAAAAAACAAUUUCGUUAAUAUACCCGAUGUGUCUCGAAAUGCGAUACGCAAACGGCAUCUAAUUGACGUAAAUGGUAUGCAAACUAAAUACGACACGUUUACGUCCAUCAAUGUUUAUUAGUAUGUUGUUCUUCUAUAUCUGAAUCGAAGCUGUAAUGAAACAUAGAUUUUAAUUAGAGCACAUUUUCCAAUAGAUUGAACGGCUUUCACGGAAGAAUAUUACUAUAUAGAUCAUUAUCGGAUUUAAUAUUCCGCUUUAAUUUCAAUAUCUAUAGCCGUAUCGUUAUUGUAAUCUUAUUGAACGUUGCUAUCGAAACAAUUAUUGUUUAAAACUCGGCAAACUGUUAAAGCUCGUUUAUAAGUCAACGAUGACGGAGAAAAUUAUUUAUUCAUAACUUGUGAUACUUUUUACGCGGAUAGAGACGAGUUAAUCGGUCUUGGUUUAUGGACGAGUGAAAUAACGAUGCUUCAUUACCGAUUAAUUUAUACCAAAAUAUUUUCUCAGGGAUAAUCAGCGAAUUAAAGGAAGUUGUACAAGAUAUUCCUAGCCGUAAUUAAGCCGUUGAAUUAUUCACGACGAUAUUCAUCGAGCCUUAUCUACGAUAAAAUUAUUACCGUUAUGGUGGAAUUAAUUUUAUCUCGCGUCGACAAUUUUCUUUCGAACCCUUUUAAGUUAAAUUUCUUUCUUUUUUUUUUUUUUUAUUUUUAGCAGUUACCAACAAUACAAACACAUUCGUCGAGCGGUUUUAUGGAAAGAGACAAAACGUAUUAAAAUAAAAUACGUGAAGUUAUUUGAACUUUGAACCUUUCCUUUUCGAUUCAUCUUGCGUUUACACGUAACACGCAGCCACGAAAAUUAAUUCUUGUAGGGCAAAAUAAUGUUCAAUUUUACGUUGCAAAUCGACCGCCGGUGUCCCAUCGACGUUUUGUUAUUUUCCAAUACGACUGUGUUCUGCGCUACGUGUUUCAGGGAUGAGGAAGGCGAUAGUAAAGUUGUAGAGUACAACGACUCGAGGAAAAUGUAACGACUCUGUGAGAAGUUCGUAUUGUCUCGACGAGUACCUCUAUGGUUUCCUCGUGGAAGGAAAUACGUGGAAAGAUACGGUCCAUCGUAAAAGGUAAACGAAUUUAAGCAUCGAAAAUAUAAAUUUCCAGCAUCUCGAUGGCGCGACAAAUUUUUGUACACACACGUUGCUCUAAAUUAGAAGAAAAUUAUAAGGGAUGACCGGAAAAGACGAAUCGCGUCUACUCGCUAUUCUUUCGUCUUACCAAUAUCUUGAAAUUGAGGUGAUUUUUUUAUUCAGCGAUCCAUCAUUUUCAUUCGAUUUUUAUAUCGGUGUUACGCGCAAGUACGUCACGUUAUAUUUACGUUCGUAAGAAGUAAAACUGAUAAAUGAGAAUUGAAUUAUUAUUAAAUUUCAUGUUGGUUAUUUUCGCUUGGAAAUUUACUUGUACAAUGAUGUAAUUAUAAAAUGCAAAGUUGGUAGUUUUUUCUUUGAAGGUAAAUGAAAUAUAAUUUCAAGCGAGAAUACCGGUAUUUUUUUCCUUUGGGAAAGUGUAAUUUUAUCUCCCUUAAUCCAGACUUCCUCGAAGUUCAAUCUCCUGCCCUAAUUUACUUUGCCGGCGCUUAUGCUUUUCUUUAGCGACGUAAUCCUUGUCUUCGUGACGUUCCAUGGUAUAACUUUAGUGAUAGAGGGCAAUUUAGAAUAGCCGACGAUUAUUUUCGCAAGUAUUUCAACGAUAUUCAAUUCCUUUUUAUUUAUUACGCGAUUUAUUUAUUGCGUUCUUUUUUUACGGGGAAACCAAUUUCUUUGGCAAACUCAUUACGAGCUUCCACGGCGCUGACCUAAUUUUUCCUUUACAAUAAUUUCGCGGUGUUUCCUCGAGAAAUUAAUAUUUUUUCAGAGUUCGUUGGAAAUCUGAUCUUUUAUAUUAUUCGCGAUUAUUUUACAAUUUUUAGAUAUUCGCGUUAUAUCUGCGAGUGUGAUAAAAAUUUGCUUUAGUUUAUAACAAGAAGGAGAGAGGAGAAGAGUCGUUGAUGCUUCGAGAUCAUUGUUAUAGUUUAAGAGUAGAAUAUAAAGAUUCUCUGAUCUUUCAAUAUCCGCUGUAUAAUUUACAAAGUGGGGAAAAGAAGGCCCAAGAUACUAGAUUCCCCGGAUAUUUCCAUAUGACCGGAGAACAGAAGAAAGAAAGUCGAAGGGGAUAAGAUUCGAUUUACGUCAACUGUCUUUUGCGUUGAAAAUGUAAGUUCGGUUCGCUUGGCUCGUGCGAAUAUAUUUAUCUCGCCCUCGUGUGCGUGUGCGCUUGAAAUGUCACGCAAGUGCAUCCCAUGUGUACGCAGAAGAAUUUGCUCGAUGAUAAAGAGGGGCUCGAGAACCUUCGAGCUUCGAGAAACGAAGGUUAAUGUUAAGGAUAGUAGAUCGCACCGAGUAUAACAUUGCGAAAUGGAUCUACUUCGAGCGUAACAUUCGUUUCUCGAAAACGCUUUUUCGAAAUUUACACUCGUAUAAAAGAAAUCACGCGAAAUAUAUUAAUAAGCCAAGUUUCCAGUCACCGACAUUCUGUAUUUGAGAAACACACGCACUAUGCGUGUGCGACUAUGCGUUCGCGAGUUAAAUAACCACGACUUCACGAAUAGCGUAGAAGCCUAUAAAUGGAAUUAAUCUGAUUUUAACAAGCUUCGACGAGACGAAUGACGAGCCUACUUUUUUCAAACGAGUGAUAUCAAACGUCGUCGAUCAUCCGAUUUCGAUAAUUCCUCUUAUUUUUCUUCUUCGUGGCGCGAUCAAAGAGACAACCGAUUUACUUGGAUCCACGCGCCAUUCGUAAUACGACGAAGGAAAUCGUAUGAGAGAGAGAGAGAAAGAGAGAGAGAGAACCGUCAUUACGAGAAAUCGUCGGAGGAAAUGAAAUUAGAUACCAUGAAGGCCGUUGUUCGCCAUUUGUCUGUACUCUACAACGUUCAAUGUUAAUGUCUAUCCUUUGCCUGAACAUAUAUGUACACGUGUACGCCGCUGUAUAAGUAUUUAUUGGGCAAGUCUAGUCUAUUCGCUUGGAGUUUGUUUUCUUAAAACCCUCUCUCCAUGACAGCGACACGAUGGCGCUUCGUCAUCGGGCAAAUUGAAAUUAAUUGCUAACUUAAAAUAAAGUUACCAGUAUAGAGCAAGUGUACGUUCGUCGUUGGUUCAAGCUUCUUCGGACAAAUGAAAUUUGGUACAAUGAAAGCUAUUAGGUACGACAUACAACGCGAAUGAUACUGGCAAUAUACAUGUGUUCGCUUUAUAGCUUAUACCGGUUCAGUAGGAUUAUAUUGUAAAACUUUAUUUAUACGAGUUUCAUCUGUUGCAACGAAAGUUUAGUUUUUUACCAUUUAGCGUUAUCAGGCCACAGAUGGCCAUUGGUAGAAAUUGUUAAAACGAGAAUCGUCAUGUACGUACUACAUGAAGAUCGGUAUAUUGGGAAAAUAGGUGUUUCCAUAAUUUAGAAGUCGAGCGGUGAUUAAUGGCGCAUCAACUAAACGGGGAAAACCCGAAUCUCAUUUUCUCACUUCUUCCAUUCAAAAACUUCCGCCUGCUAUUAUAAAUACGAUUUCCUUUCUACGUACCCACCGCUUUUAUAUCAAACGAGCCAAUAAACAGACGAAACAGAAGCUGGCUGAGUAACAUCAUUUUCGCAUCUCCAAAUUCCUCCUAACUAUUUACACAAAGAGAAAUUAUCUCAACGACGAUGAUUAUGAUUAUAGGAAUAAUCAGGAAACAACGAAUUGCUGGCCGAUUUACGGUCGGCUCCUAUAUAGUUUAUUUUACAUACGUAGUAUGUCGUACAGUUUUUCUAUAUUCUACAGGGUGGUUGUUAACUGGUGGCACAAGCGGAAAGGGGGUGAUUCUACGCGAAAAAAGAAUUCGAAAAUAUAGAAUAAAAAUUUUUCGUUUGAGUCGUUUCGGUCUCACUGUAGAUCAUUGUCUCGAUGGAAAAAUUAAAAAAAAAAAAAAAUUAAAAAAAGAAUUUUUAUUCUAUAUUUUCGACUUCUUCUUUCGCGUAGAAUCAUCCCCUUUCCGCUUGUAUCACCAGUUACCAACCACCCUGUAUAUGUAUUCGAUAUUCUAAAUAUUCUUCGAUAUUUCUCAAGAGUAGACAAGUUGCGAAAUUACCUUUUGCGCGAAGAAAGGAAAUAUUUCUUUGCAAGAAGUCAUAUUAUAAGAAUAUACGCAAUACGUAACGUCGAAGGAUUUAUAAUAUUGCUUUUAAUUCUUCAAAAGGAGUAAGGUGUUCGCUUACGAUCUUGUUUUUCUCGGUAAAUAUAUAUUCUUUUGCGCGACAACAUAAAGAGGAAAGACCUUUCCAUUCGCUCGGCGAACGAUAGCGGGCAAACAGAAUCUCUUAUAAGAAUAGCCUGGAGAAUGUCGUCCUCGUAAAACAACAGGGAGAUAUCAUUCUCGAUUCGCAUUAUCGGGAAAAGAGCAAGCAGCCAUGAUCGUAGCGGAAUUUUAUGAUCGUUCGUAUUUUAGCCAGGAAAUGUCACGGCGAUAAUUCUGCGUGGGAAAAUGUAUAAAUUACCCCGUUGCGCCGUAAACGCUUCUUGAUAACGCGAAUAUUCCAUUUAAGCCUCUUUAUCUCAUAACGAGUUAUACCGAUUAAUCUGUCGUUUACAGAUUUCCAGUGUAAAUACCGCGUCAGAUACCACAUAAAUCAGAAAAGAAGCGAACAACGAGACUAACCCUAACGGUAUUCCGGAUAAAAAGCAUUCGUAAGCUGUCGCUUAAGAAGUCAAACCCUCGGAAUACGCGUGUCCGCGGAUAUUAUCACUCCCACGUGAUGAGUAGCAACUGCGGCGUGAGAACAAGAAUACUGCGGGAUAGCGGCACUUGUUGAUGGCGUUACAUCGUGUCAAAGGAAAAUGAAACUCGCUCUUGUGCUUCUCCGUUCACGUAGCCCCUUUCAGACCACUCGGAAAUCCUCCGCAUUCCGCGAGACCGUCAAUGGCGAUACGCCGUGUGCUAUCACGAUGCAGCAACGAGAAACGAGAAGCUACCGUGACAAGCGUUCGGCAAGAUGAAAGAAGCACGCGGAAGGUCGAGCUCGUUAAUCGCCAUUUCUCAUAGAUACGUGACUUUGUUAACUGGAUGUUUCGGUCGUGGCUACUGAAACGGUAUAAGGACGAAGAAGAACGUAAGACGAGCGUACAUGGUCGGUACGGUGGGUAGAUAAUAGGAUCGUAAAUUUGGAAACUUUUUGGUUAAAUAUUUUGCUAAUCUAGAAAAUUUCCAUCUGAUCUUACCGCUAUAAAAGUUUCGUAAUUUGCCUAACAUCGUUACUGAACAGAUGCCGACGUUAAACGUUAAACGCUUUGUGGAAAUGGCAAGUUUGAAGGGGGCAAGGAAAUUGUUUUAAAAGCUACUUAUCUCUGAUAAGCUUUCCAGGUAUUCUGGGUCAGGGACGGCGAAUCGAGUAAGCAGACGCUUAUUUCGACAAACGUAUUCAACACCCUUACCUUCUGUUCGAUAGGAAUGCAAAGCGAGCUUCAAAAUGAACCGUCCCAGCAUCAAAGUGAAUCUACCGUCCUGAAUAAUUUGCAGCUUCCGAGGAAGAAGUUCGAGAUCUUACGAUUUCUGUUUCAGUGACAGCUAAGGGGAAUGCUUUUUCACGGAGGAAGAUGUUUCUUCUUGGCGGAAGCAAUGGAUGGAAUUCACGAAUUAACUUCGAUGUAAUACCAACGCUAUCGAUUCCGUUUCGCGAAAGACACCUACACGUUUGGCAACGGGAACGGCCGCGUUCAAAGAAAAAAUUCGCAGGGAACUACGAAGGACGUCGGGAUUAAGCAAACUCGGCUUUGUUACCGGAGACAAUGGACGGUUCGCUUUUCGCGAUACAUUAAAAAACGAUCUGGCGAUGGUGCUUUUAUAUCUGACGCGUUCGCUUUAACACCGCGUUAACCCGGCUAAUAGGUAGUCGCUUGCAUUUCGGUGCUCUUCGGCUCGUCCUAUCUCGCCAAAGUCCAAUUUGGUCCUGAUAACUAAACUGUGCCCGCGUUCCGCCAAUACGCAGCGAGACGGAAAUCGUAUUUCGAUCGAACCGCCGGUCUAGGCUGCUCGUUGGCAAGAAGGCAAAGCCGGCGCAAAGAGAGAGAGAGAGAGAGAGAGAGAGAGAGAGAGAAAGCUAUAAAAGAAAAAGAAAGAACGAGAAAGUGAUCGAAGAGGACUCUAUAAAAAUGGCCUGGCGAACGCCAUCGAGCUAGUGGAAAUCCAUAGGUAGAUAUUCUACCCCUUCGAUAUGGCACACACAACUUGGACGGACACAAUCGUCUUCCAACUAUCGGUGUGUGUACGUGUUUUACGAUGGAACAGGAGGCGGUGCACGCGCGCACACGUUCACGCGCAAAAACGUGUACACACAGAAUCGCCGCACCCUUUGUGCUAAAAUUAGAAGUGACGAAGCGUAUACAUACUCACUUCGCUGGCUUCGAGCUUUUAUUCACUGGCGUUUAGACAUAACGUGUUGCAGGGCUUUCAAUGGCAUCGACGGAGGUGAUCAAACCGCUAGUUAGAAGAAGAGAGUCGUAUUCGUGCAUGGGGAUUUCGAGAUGACAGAGAGAAAGAGAGGGACGAAGGAACACACGGUUAGAUAGAAUCGAUGAUAUGGAAAGGGGCAGAGGAUAGAUCGUGACAAAAGCAAAAAGAGGCAACGGAUAGUUUCACAGGGAUACGGAGGAUCUUUGAUGGAGAGGGAUGCAAGCGAUAAUGGCGGAUAGAUAAACUGGGUUAAAGGGAAAAGGAUGGACGAGAAACGCGAGAGCAAAUACGGCCCGGUCUAAUCUCUGGGAAACGUUCGAGUGGGCGGAAAUUUGCGUUUACGCGCGUACAGGUGGAUAGAGGGAGGUAGGACGAAAUUUUUCGGACGCGGCCAUACGAGAAUCGCGUAAACAUUAUCGGCGAAUAGAAAUUUCAAUUGGAACGUUAUAUCGCGAUAAACUUCCAUAAAUAACGAUAAAUUUGAAGGUUCGAAACGUGUACGGGUAUACAACGAUUCGUUUUCUCUCGCACAGUCCAGUGUGAAACGAGCUCGGCUUUGACUUUGUUCCAACGAGUCGCGCGUUAUGCUUCCUCGAUGGCCGAUAAAGGGUGGCUGAUAGAAAAUUGCAAGAUUUUCCGCCUGACGUUCGGCUGUUCGUGUUCGCGGUUCAACGAGAAAUUGCAUUGGGAAUUUCGCCUGAGAAGGAUAUUUCAGAUACAACGUGCAACGCGAAUCGUUGCAGUCUACCUCAUUUCCUUUUGUUCCAUCCACAAUUUCUGUAUCGUGUCGUUUCUCGCGUUCGUACGAAGCUGCAUCACUCGAUGAAUUUCAACGCGUUUGGACGUUAUCCAUUUAUCUUCUUCGUCUUAUAAUGGAUUUGACGGAACAUCUUCCCUUCCAUGAGUCAAGGUAUUUAAAAUUUAUAUUCAGGCGGCAUUCGUUUCUGCAAGGCGUAAGAAAGUAAAGGCGCGCUGCUUUUAACAUUUAGCAUUUAGAGAGAUCGUAAGAAAAUUUGAUCGCGUUGCGUUUAUCAUACGUCGUUCGAUAAUUUCGUUAGAAUUAUCCGGAUUAUUUUGCGCGAUAAUUUACUAGCUAAUAACAUUGGCGAAUUGACAAGCGACGAGCCGUAGAUUAUGGAUGACCGUUACGCAAGCAGCUUUUACAAUUUUACAAUUUGACACGGAACAGGAAAAUCGGUUAUCCAAUAAUUUAUAAAAUUCGCUUCUAGAACUUGCCUUAUUAGCCGAACGUACGUUACGUAAGAGAAUAAUUAUUGUUACCUAAGAGAAUUUAUUGGCAAUGAUUCGUCAAAUUUCGCUAAUAACAUUAGCUUAAAAAUAGAAACGUUUAGAUUCCGAAGAACAUACAUCUUUGCCGAUCGAUUAUCGAUUAAAAUGGAAAUUCUUUCCGUUCUGAUACACUCGAUCGUUGCAACCAUUUUCCUUUUUUUUUUUUUACGUAAUUUCUUUCUUAAACGGCUCGUAACGUAUCUCGCGCACUUUAUUGCCACGAACAUCGUGGGAAGAAUUACGCGAUAUCCGAAAGAACUGUGUAAUUUUCUAUUUUUAUCGAUUUUCCUUGGUACACAAAGUAACAAAUCUAUGUAACCUACUUUACUUGUUCGCGGCCAUUAAUGCACUGACAUUUACCAGCGUACAAUCAAGAUAAUCCGAUAUUUAAUGAAACUUUCUUUCGAUAUUCUACGUAUCGUCGGUUCGUUGGAACAACGACGCAACCAACGAAACCAGAUAUCGUUUAGCAGAUCGUUUUCAAAUACUUUGCGAUAGAAAAUUAUUCUACAAUUAUAUUUCCACGACUCUCGAUUUGUUUGAAGUGCAGAAAUAGCCUGGCGGAUUAGAGCCGAAUUGUUCGAAUGAUUAACGAAGCAAUUGAAACCGGUGUUUAAACGGUAAUCAAGAACGAAGCGGAGAAUUUCUUCGAAAUUUAACUGGUUAUAACCGGGCGACACGAAGUUAACAAUUCGCAGUGCCUACCCGCUCUCGUUAAUUAUUCCGCGUUUCUACAUUCGUCUUACUAAUUAGUAAUUAGCCUCUCUUGCCAAGGAUUUUCGCGUUGAUGGAAUCUGUCGCGUUUACCGGAAAACUCGCACGUGUCUUUCCAAUUAACAUUAUCUGUCGCAUCUGGAAACAAUCGCGUCUCUUACGUCCACAUUCAUCGCUACGUUUUAAAUUUUCCAACGAUGGACGACACAAUUUCCAGCAGACGUUCGAGCGACGAAUCGGGAACGAAGGAAAUUUUUAAGGUAAGAAAGGGGAUGAUGGCAUACGUAAAAAUAGAAGAACGAGCGCUGCUAUCGAUUGCACGUUUAUGGACGCUAUUAUCGUCGAAUUUAUUAUUUAUAACGAUGGUUCGCUUCUUAUCAGAAACGCUCCUGCUCUUUCCAUCUUCGAUUUUACGCUUCGCAAACGAUUGUUUAUCGUGUUUGUAAUUUAUCUUCUUGCGAGUUUAUUAGGAUUUUUGAAAUAUUUAGAAAAUACCUGUUUACUUUACCAUUUUCGAAGAAAUCGAUCAGAGCGAGCCGGUAGCAGCGCAGCCGGUCGUCAUUUCCUAAAUAUAUAAUUUUGUUUUUCGAUAUAAAACGUAGAAACUAUUACAUCGCUCCUCCAUUUCUUCGUAGAACGUGAAAAAUAAAUUUCCUUCGUGAAUAUCCCAUUUUUACGGAUCUUUUGCCAAUUGUAAAAACACACGGCGGUUCUUUUUAUCAUAACGCGUAAAUGUUUCGCCAAUUUUUUUAUAAAUCGUACGUAGUUGCGAAAGAGUAUCAGGAUUAACGUAUUGACUCUGUUCAUCCACGUGAAAGACGAAAAUUUCGUCGUUAGUAUGCGUACGCGUUCGUAGGCGAUGCAAUUACCCGCAUACUGGCUGAUUCAAAAAUAUUGCGCGCGUUAACAGCUUUGUAUAGGGAGAAAUGCCUGUAAUUAACGAGCAUCGUCCCAGGAAGUUAUCAAUGGGGCAAAUUUGACGCUGUAAUCGAUUAUUUGUAAGUAGAAUUUUCCUGCUAAACCGAAAUCCAUCUGAAAACAAGUAUUCGCAACCUAUAGAACGACUGUAAUGUUUCUACUUUAAUUUAUAAUUUAAGGACAAGUAAUGAUUAUAAUUAGAUCGUAGGUGUUUACGCAUUUAUGGCAAUUUAUCGUAUAUAUACAUUUAUUGGAAAGCAAAAUUUCAGCAAAUUUUGCUGUAUUUUGUAUUUCACGUUACGAGGUACGUACGAUCCGAUUGCAUGAAACCCGCUACUUGGAAAAUAGAUUUCUUCGGAUACGUGAAAAAUUAUUCUAUUAUGUUUGUCGAUGUUGCUUUGCUUCUGUAUAUGUGACAUAUAAAUUAUUACGCGAUUCGUAUCAUAUCACAAUUCAUAUCAUACGUGUACACCGUAGAAAGUAGAAUAUGGCUGGGACAAUAAUUAUAUGUCAAUCUUAUCCCACUGAAUGCCGCCUGGUUUAACGUUACCGUUCCGAUAUAAAUAAAAUUACAUCCAUUAGCGCAACAGUAACGAUAUCAGUUUCCAAAUUCGAAAAGCCCGCCAGAAAACCUGCGUUUCGCGUUAUCCAUAUAGCGACAGUUGCCGUAUCGCGGCAGUUAUGAAACGAGAAUAAAAAAAAAGUAUUUAUUUUAACGCAGAGGAGAUUUCGUUUGUUCGAAGCUUGAGUUUAAAAUUCGGACUUAAACGAUAACACCCAUUAACCAUACCUACGAAUUUUUAUGUUUCAAUUUUACUCUUGUUAGGAUAAACAAAAGUAUUUUUCAAAAUAUUUUACAGCAACGCUUCAAGAACCGCACUUAACGCUUUUGUUUUUCAAGUAAAACGAUGAAAACGCGGUAUUGUUAGAACAGGCAAAGAAUAAAUAAGUUUGUGUUGAAACAAUAAAAAUGGAAAAAAAUGAAUAGCAUAAAAUGAACUUAGUUAUGCACUCUUGGAAAUAAAUGUCGCUCCGAUAUGCGAUAUAUGUGAUAGGAAAAUCAUCACUGGUCAUUUCAACCUAUAUUUUCGAUAUUUAAGAUACGCGAUCGAACAACGCGUGCACAUAUUUUCAAAUUUCGCUGCUACGCGUAUGCUUAGAUCGCUGUGUUGUUAGUUGGUACGUGUACCUACGCUAGAUCGCGCUGCAGCAUAGCGCAAGUUGGCUAAUUCGUUGGUACAUACGUACGUUGCGUCCGGAGAAUAUUUCAACAGAGCCAUAUAUGUGCGUACAUGGUUGCAAAGAAUAUAGAAACGUUUGUCGUAUUAUCGUAUCUUUAUAUUUUGUACGAUUACGCGGAUGAUACAACGCUUCGCCGAGUCAAUAAUCGUAUAAUCCUGAAGUUUAUUCCUUUCGUUUUGUAUUUUCUUCUAACUUUAUCGUUAACUCAUUUAUCGAAAUUUUGUCAAUUUUUAUUCACGUUUAUCAAAUAGAUAAUUAUCGAUAUCUUAGGUAUGAAUAAUUUUGAUGUAACUUUAACAGGAAUUUUUAUCGAUCUUGUCUACGUGAUAACGUGCGCCGAUAAUACGUAGUCUUAGUUCAACGGCUUGUUACAAGAUGGCAGUAUCGAAUUUGCUCGAACGUGUAAUAUUGAUUUUUAAUACUUUGAUUUUAACGUUAAAAGAGACCACAUAAGAACGACAAAUGUAAAUUGCAUUCGUAUUCUAGUUGUAAGAAUGCGUUAUUACGAUUAAUACAAAUAAAUACUUGUCCUUAAUUUUCAAGUCACUCAAUAAACUUUGCCGUUACGUUGUUCAACGAUACUAUAGCAGAGCACACGGUGAAACGUCGGAAUUGGAAUUUCAUUUCGGUAGGUUGAGAUGGUUCAGGCGUUGAGAUCGAGGGAUGAAUUCGAUCGAUCGAACUUCAAUAAGACAUUUUAUUUCUCUCGUUUAACACAACUGUGUGACGCACGUGUUGUUGUUCCUGCUGUUAUUGUUGUUGUCGUUUUUUAUGUACAGAAAAAUCAGCUCGAUAUACAAAGGAUGUCUGCGACGCGACACGGUGAAAAUAAAAUCGUAGAAAAACGUUACACGCUACACGAUUCGGAGGAAUUGCGAGGACGUGGUGUGUGUCGUCUGUUCUAAAAAACGGGCGACAGAAUGAACAAAUGUUUCGUGUUUUCGCCACGCGCGCUACGCACGUCUAACGCCUAAGCGUGCGCGCGCGGCGUCCUACUAUCGAAUUAUUUCGCCGCAGCGCAGUUUAUUAAUUCGCGACGAUCGAUAUUACAAUUAGUCCUUCAAAGUGAAUGCUCAAAGGCAAUGCGCCCGCUUCGAUUAUGCAUAAAGUAAUCCAAUAACUUGGUUGCAAUUUAAUGGCGCACGUUCCACCUGAUGUCCUACAUACAAAGUAUUAUAAAUAAGAUCGUCCUUGCAACGCAAUCGAACGACGCGUUCUAUUCGUACGAUGUAUAAGCUACACGCGCUCUUACGGAAUUCAUCGUACAGCGAAAGCAUCGGAAAAAAUGACGCGCUACGUUCAACGAUCCGAGGCAGGUUUGCGGAAUCGUGUUUGCAGAUAAUCGACCGAGGAUGGGUCGAUCACAGUCGACGAUCGUUUCGUUUGAACGAUUCCCUUUUCGUUUCUUUCCAUCUUUCUCGACCAUUCGGAUCUCUUCGAUUGGUUAGGUAUCACGCGUAAUUUACGUAACUCUAGGAAGAAGGAUAUAUAUAUAGUAUAUAUAGUAUAUCUCGUUCUGUCGUUCGUUAUAAAAUUCAUACAGAAUACGCUCUUCGAUAACGACAAACACGAAUUACAUCGUCUGCGCUGAUUUUAGACGUAUUUACAACGAAAGUAAUCGCACACGCGACAUCCACGCUUUCGUGACCGCUAGCGAUUUUCGCGAAGAGAAUCGCCGAUCGUCAACGCAUCGUCGCCCGAUUCGUCUGGCGUAAAAACGAGCGCGUGUUAUCGCGUAUUCUCCUAGUUGAAUGAAGAUGGAGACACCGUAAUUUUGUUCGUUUCGCGUAACCAACGACACUACCACGAGAAUUUCAAUCGACGUGUACGCGUCCAACGUGAAUAUUCCGCCGAUCGUUCGACGAUGCGUUAAGCAGCAGCGAUAACUGUGAUUUAAAUGAAACGUUAUACUCGGCAUUUUAAGCGAUAGCUUCAUGGUCGGAGUAGCUAGUAAAAUAUAUUCUCAUCGAAUCGUCUAUAGAGAAGAAAAGACACGAGUAAGCGACAAUCUCUGUAUUUCCUCUCGAUCGAAGUUAUUUUCGCUAGUUAAAUCGACGUAACGCGGUCGAACGGUCGCUUAACUAGAAACUCAUGGGAAAUUGCCACUGGCGAAAUUUCGCGUCCGUAGGCGAGCGGUCACGCAAGUGUUAAUAUUGUAGGCGAUGCGAUAUUAGGAGACUUCACUUCCCUUGGCGGCAGUUCGUGCUAUAUACACAGGCUUUAAAGUUACGAGCUAUACAUCUGGACGCAGAAUUCUCGUACCACACGAUCGUGUACCAGCGACCCUCUUUGCUAGCUAUACAAAGUAAUUAUCGGCCGUCGCUCGUUCCCGAAGCGUCUCGAAUUUAUCCUACGAUCGAUAAGUUCGAAUCGAUGGAAUUUCAAGCAUAGAAAACGUAGUAUCCUUUGUAACGAUAAUUUCGUCGCUAAGGUUCGCGUUUCGCGUAUUCGUUGGUCACUUUGACCGCCACGGUGACCGGAGCGCUCGACGUCUUACAAUUGUAAACAUUGAACGAAAAUUGACAGUUAGGGCAUUUCGAAUAUAACCGAUAAAUAGAAGAUACUUUGAAAUAAAAAGUGCCCCAUUGAACGAUUAAACAUUUUUAUUAGAACAUCAAUAAAAAAAAAAAAAAAAUGAGAACAAAUCUUGCAUCUAACGGUGUACUGUGUUAAAAUACUGUGGCGUCCUGAGCGAAACAGACGAUUUCGGCGUGGCAGUCGAAGUGUUUGUAGGAAAUGCGUAAAGAAAGGAAGCUUCGUUCUUCCAUUUUCUUCAUCUUAGAUUCGAAAGCUGUAUUUCUUUUUUCCGAUUGAACCGUAUAUGAUACAAUCAGGUUUGCGGUAGUUGAUACAAAGUGGAAUAAAUUUGAAAGCAUUCGGAAACAAGCUGCGCAACGAUGAAACGUGGCAACAGAAUCGGAUACUCAUUUUUUAUACGGCCUGCGGCCGAUCGUUGACAAUUUACACGCAAAUGCGCGACGAAAUAAUAUUUUACCAAAGCAUGGACGCCUGUCGAUAUCCGACUAUCCGACGAGCUACCCUCGCAAACGAUAUUGACUGCCUUCGUCAUUGUACGGUGGAAAUGAGUCUAGCACAAAAUAUAUCAUAUGUAUGUAUAUAUGUAUACAUAUAUUUUAUCGUCGAUAAUUGUGUUCGAGGCGCACAGCCGCGCCCCGACGCCAUCGGGCCGUCGCGUCGUGGCCCGGCCGUAAUUAAAUCGUGUACAGAUUAUAGAAUAAAAGCUUUCGUAAAGAAUACGGUAAAUAUUCAUCGAAUAAAAUUGUGUAAAAUUCGAAUACAAAUUAGGAGUACGCGAGCCGAACGUUUCGUGCGCAGGAUCGAUCGUUGCGAAGUUCCAGAUUCUAAUCUUCCGUUUCAACGACCACGAAUCAACGAAUCUCGUUUUACGUUAGAAACGAAUAGAAACGCUGAUGGAGAUUACUUUAAUUCGGAAAGAAGCGACCCAUCCACGAUACACGGUAUCUCGAAAGGUCUAACGUAGAACUUUUAAUGGUUACUAAUUUUCUUUCAAGAAUUUUUAUACGACUUAGAUUAGAUUUUUAUUAAUUUUCUACAUAAUAUCGUUCGUAAAAAGAACGAAUUCGAUCGAAUGAUUUUUAAUCGUUGCAUUUGUAACUUCUAUUCGAGGAUUACGAUCGGCGGUAGAAAAUUUAUACGAAACGAGCAAAUAACGCGACCGAUAAAAUUAACGUUUCAUGGAAUAAAAUUUUCGCAGAACGAGCGCAAACAAGGUCCGGCGAAUCGAUCCUGCGCGCCUCUUGAUCGGCUUAUUUUCUCUUUUUUCCCCUUUUCUAUUUAAUACGUAUCGUUAAUCGUUAAUCGUUAACGGUAUUCUUAAAUUCUUCGUAUUAUUGUAUAUAUUUAGUUCGGAAGAUAAUACGGAUGUUUAUUUUAUCGCUGCACGUACGUAUUCGGAUAUUUGCUCCUGUUUUGUCGCGUUUACGUCCCGCCGUCGUUCCUUCUCGUCCUGUUCGGGCGGAAAAAAACGCAGCUGAUAGGACGUUUCCGAUAUACCUACAUAUACAUAUAUAUAUAUAUUUCUUUUUCAUUCCUUGCUUCGUCUCAACUUUAUACUCGAACGUCGAUUCGCGUAGCACAAAAUAUCUCGAGUCGAAAAUUCGAAAUUGCAGCUUCUGCGCUAGAGAAAAAUUUCGUCUUACGAAUCUGUCUGCCUUGCGAAUUUCAACGGUCUUAUCUCGGGUUUCUUUUUUAGCUUACCUUAAUUCGUACAAGGAAAUAGAAUCGUGCGAAAAUUCUCGCUAAUCAUCGACAGAUACGUUACCCGUUGACAAACGUAGAGAAUUUUGAUCUUUCUCUGGAAAGUUCAACGGAAGCGAAAGAACGUGUGAAAAGCACGUAGAUCGUAAAAAAGAGGAAAGAAUCGCUAAGCGGUAACCUCGCAGUAUUACCGGCGUUAUCGAAGCAUUAAAUUAUCUGCACACUGUUUUUUUUAAUAUUUAUUUCUUUAUUUUACAUUGUCAUGCGAUUUCCGCGUAAACUUAUAAAUGGAUAUUAUUGUGCCAUGCGAACGCGAUCCUCAUCGAAUAUCCUGACUCAGCCCUCGUGUUAUUUUCGUUUCCUUGGUACAGCUUAAUCCUAAAACACGACGAGUCGUGAUUCGUUCGCACCGCAUCGAACGUCGCAAUUUCGUUACAUCUUCUCUAUUUUUUUUUCCCCCUUCUCAUCGUAUCUUUUUCCCUUCUCUUUUUCCUUUUUUUUUCUCUUUUUUUUAAUAUCGUAAUAAUCGUAAUAUAUUUUCUAGGUAAGGAUUCUCUUAAGCGCAUGUACAGAGAUAAAACUUUCCUCUACGUUUUGAGCAUACCGCGCGGCUUCAUUUUUUAUUAUUUUUUUUUUCUUACCUCUUAUUUUAUCAAUAUUUUACUUUAUUUAUUUUUAUCGCGUAUCCCCUUGGAUUUCCCAUUUUUUCUUGUUUCUCUUUUCGCGCAGACUGCACGAGCUGCCCGAACGAGCGAUAUUUCAUUUAAUAGGUAUCCGUAGUAAUAUCUAAAACCACGUUUAAACGCCUAUGUGUGUGAAUCGAUUCGACGGCUAGUCUACGAGAGAGCUGAACAGCGUUUCAAAUAACAAAUACCGCGUUACCCUGCAGAAAACUUCGGUUGCGUUUCGAUCCCGUUUCGCGUCACAUCCGUGAAACAGGCGCUGAAUCGGUACAAAAGUGAGAGAAAUCCGCGGGGAAACGAGUAGCAGCGUAAUCGUUGCCGCGAUUAUCUGUAUUUAUCUUUGGCGAGAUCUCGCAACGGUUCGCAGCGUGUAGAAAAUAAAGAAACGAAAAAAAAAAAAAAAAAAAAAAGGAAAGAAAAACAGAUUCCGACGCGAUUCCCGCGAUCGAACGAAACGUAGCUUUCCACCGGUCUAGUAAUUAUUAUUUGACCUACCAUUUCACUCGGUUUCGCUUCGCGAUUGCGGCCUUUUCUCACCUAUGCUCCACGCGUGUAUUCUUGUACGUACAGAUGUAUAUAUUUAUAUAUAUAUAUAAUGGUCGAUAGAUGCACCAGAUGCUAUUUCCCCUAUUCCUUUGUUUUGUCUUCCCUUAAAUUCUCGAAUCGUAACGAUUACUCGUCAUUGUGCGUCGUUUCGAAUGACAUGACGAUGAUCGGUAUGUGGAUAAAUCGCGCGAACUCGGAUCUCGCGUUGCCUUCUAUAUUUUUCCUCGCUCUCGUUCUCCUUUCGUUUUAUUUAUCUGCGCGAGUUUACGUUGGCGCGCGAGCGUGUUCCUGCAAAGAGAAAGAAGGCGGACGAAGCUGGUUCACAGGGUAACAGAGAGAGAGAGAGAGAGAGAGAGAGAGAGAGAUAGAGAGAUAGAGACGGGCGUAAAAACGAGGGAAAAGGGCGCGAUUCUCUUCUCGUCUGUUCGAAAACGACGAUCUCGAUUUAUGCUUACGACCCAGCUUCGUUCACCUUCUUUCUCCUUUUUCGUUUUACGGCCUAACGAAUCGGCGAUCGAAAUGCCAGAGAAACAGAUCCUCCGCUCCGGUUCUCGUUAAACGUCGAGCGGCUGAGUUCCUUCGAUUUCGUCGCAUUCCCGCGAUAUGCCUAUUUCGUAAUAAUAAUACAUACGUGGUAUUCGUAUAAAUGUAAACAAACGUGUCCUGCCGGGGACUGGCUGGCUUAUCCGUAACGGGCAGCGACGAUCGCGACGAACGUUCGACGAUCGAUCGAACGAAACGGCCGCGGCGGAACGUUCCAGCUGCGAAAUUAAAAAUAAUCCCAGCGAGUCGAUGGCCGAAGAUACGCGGUCCACGUCACGGUAACACCGAUCACAGAAAGUUCGCGUUAAUUAACGUGUCUCGCGAUAUUUCUCCGUUUUGCGAUCGAGAGACGACGACGAAGAACGAUACAAAAUCAAUGUCCCCGUCGUACACCGGGGCGAGUACGUUGCAGAGAAAUAGGAACAGAGACGAAUAUGGGAACAGACUACUUGGUUGCCCGUGUAACCUAAUUCAAUUCCUUUGUAUUUAGUUCGUUAUAAUAUAUUUAUAUAUAUAUAUAUGUCUACAGGGUGGUUGGUAACUGGUGGCACAAGCGGAAAGGGGGUGGUUCUACGCGAAAAAAGAAGUCGAAAAUAUGCAAUACAAAUGUUUCGUUUGAGGCUUUGUUUUCGAGAAAAUCGACUUUGAAUUUUCGCUCGGUACGCGUGCACUUUAUUACGUCUCGUUAUAACGGAUCUCACUAUAGAUCGUUGUCUAGAUGGAAAAAUUAAAAAAAAAAAAAUUAAAAAAGAAGUUUUAUUCUAUAUUUUCGACUUCCUUUUUCGCGUACAAUCACCCCCUUUCCGCUUGUACCACCUGUUACCAACCACCCUGUACAAUAAAUUCCCUUAAAAGUAUUACAAUUCUUCUUUCUAUCAAUGCUUCGCGCUAUCAACCGUGUUUGAUAUAUGUAUAGUUCAACGUUACGAGUUUCAUCGAGCGUUCCGUAGCGUUCCGUAACGUUCCGGACAUCUUUUACACGGUAUCCUGUAUAAUUUUUCAUUCUCGCUAAGUGUACGCACGCGUGUGUAUGUAUGCGUGUAUGUAACGUACGUAUAUUUUUCUUAGUUAACUAUACGUCGUUCAUAGAGUUGGUAUUUAUAUAACGUUGUCUCCUAAGCACACGCCUAUUUAUAUAUUUAUACGUGAUGAAUAUACAUGGAUCUAUUCAUACGCGCUCGCGUCUAUAUUUAUACGUUUAUGUAUAUUCGCGGGGCCGAAGCAUGCGUAUAUGUAUAUGCAUGUUUGUUAUUAAUACGAUGCGCUUUACAAUAACUCUUUCUUCUUUCUUUUUUCUUUUGUGUUUGCGUCCGCUUGAAACGAAAUCGCUUAAACGUGUAACAAGUACUUUAACGACCACGCGCUCUGAUUCUUGCACGCUGAUCGCCACGCCAUCCGAGAUCCAAACGCAUCCACGUCUUCCCGAGGCUAACCGAAAGCAGCGCAGCGAAGCACGGGGAAUGAUAAAAUCCGCUGUGAGAAUUUUUCUAGCGUUCGACAGCGAUGGAAAAAUCGAUCGUACAUCGGCGAAAGUCGUUCGCCAGUUUUCGCGUAGUUUGCAAUUGUUUUUCCGCUUCGUAAAAUUACGCGACAAAGCGCGAUGAAUUUACGAAUCGUCAAAAAUAGCGAUUUUUAGCAAUCGUCGCAACGACAAGUGCGAUCGAUCGAUAGAAAAGAAGAUUAUAAUUUGGAAACGAUCCAAUCUUUGUCACUGCUUCCAAUCGCCGCCCUUAAUCUCAAAGUCGAUUUUAUCGUUAGAAAGACAUCGCGGGAAUAUACGUAGAAUGACACAUUUCGAAGAAAAUAUUUCGGAAUCUCUGACACUUUGAAAGAUACGAAAAUCUCGUUAAGAACGUUUUCAGAAGCGAAUACGAGAGAAUAGUUUCCAACCGUAUGACGUUAAAAUAAUCCUUUAGUCGCUGAACGAUGCAAAGGAAAAUUAACAAAGAUGGAAUUAUCCUGUUCUUCCCGUUUCGUCUUCGCUCGCUCUUUCACCUAUCACCGAAUUACUGGUAGGAACUAGAACGAAGGUUUCCUCGAUUGUCGACGGCGUUCCAAACACGUGCAGCGACGAAAGGUUCACGCUCUGCAUCUUCGGUAUCGACUCGAAAUUGGCUGCAAGCCGGUAAAUUAGACGACGAUUGGCAAUUUCCACGUUAAGCCUCGCUGUUUCCGCUAUCAGGCCCGCCUUCGUUCGUCGAGCAUACCUGUUCGUAAUUGACAACGUUUAGCCACGAACGAAGACGCGUUAGAUUCUGCCACGUAACGCGAAACCAUUGUUCUCACGAUCUGUACCGCUCGUUCGUCUCGUCGUUCUAAAUUUAACGGUAGAAAAAUGCAGUAGUUUUUCGAAUGUAGCGAGAAAUCAAAUUUUCUGCUUAUCCUAUUUACGGUAUUACGUUUCGUUAACCGAAGUCCGUAAGGAAUCAACGCGUCGGUUUACCAAUAGUCAAUUUUUCUAAAUCGUAUUCAAAGGAUAACAACAAACUAUCAAAUAACCUACGGCAUUAUGCUCGUGCUUGGAAUUCCUUUUUUAUACUUCUAGCUUGUUUUUACAAAUAAUUCAAUCUCGACCAAAGUACUCGUAAAACAUUUACGAUCGCCGGCGUGGUGCAACGUCUACCUCUAACCCUACAAUUUUGAUGAUCCUGUGUCCGGUUUAAAACGGUGCGAACGGCCGCUUUAGUUUUACCAACGAGUCCGUAGAUCGGUGAUCUUAGAAAGUUAGAAAGAUGGAGAAACGGACAGAAUACGUACAAUAUAUAAAAAUAUAUGAAAUAUCCAAAGUAGGGUACACGUUAUAAUUUGUACGAGAUAAAACGAAUUUCUGUUUCACUUGCGUUUCUUUGGUCAUGUCCGUAAAAGUAUGUCCAUUGAUCGGCGUAGAAAAAAUGUAGAAAAAACAGAAGUGGAAAGCUUGCGUAAAGAAGAGACGGGACGUGUUUUAAACGCGGUUUUAUCCGACAGCAGACGCGGAUGAUUUUGAUCAGCCGGCCAGCCGACUGGAAAUACGGUUGACUGCGCGCACCGGUCGGACUAUCGAAUUCAUUCGUUAAUCAUAGUUGAAUUAUGGCUUGAAUGGGUCUAAAUCGGAUCAAACGGUGCCAUUUCGCAUUAUGUUUUCCGGGCCAAACGACUCGACGUAUCGGAAUCGCGCGAACCAAAUACGUUUCAUACGUGUUCGAAGACUCGUGACGGUCGAACGGGAAUCCGCAAAAUGGAACAAACAAAUCGAACGGCCUCGAACGGUAGAACAAAAGGAAGCACUGGAGGGCUGGUUCGUUAGAGUGAAACGAAAUCGACGCGGUCGAAGUCGCCUAACACUUUCAUUUCAUCGACGAGUCGUUGCCACGAUUUUCAUUCCGACCGGCUGACUUUUCUCAAAUUAUCGACGAGCGAUCGGUAACAACCGAUGCGCGUGUUGUUCCUAUGAUUUCGAAGCGUACGAUGCCACGAAACGUGUGAUUCGAUUUAAUCGCUGCGAAAGAAAUCGUAAAAAAAUAACUCGUUUGCUCGACGAUUCGUCUCGAUAAUUCGAUCCACGAAUUAUUUACGCGAGAACGAUCCGACAGCCUGAACGCGGCGAUCGCCGAUUCUCUUACGCUUCUAACUACGUAUGUGCGUGAUUCUCGACAAGACGGGAUAGACUCACGGAGACGUUGCAAAGAUCGGGUUAAGUUUUCAGAGACGCGGACCGAUCGGAUGGCGCAGCUAUCGACGCAACGUUCAUCUCAAGGGGUUUCGCGUUCGGCUACGAUUUAAUAAUCAAUUCUUAUCACAGAAGUUAUUUACACGAUACAAGUUUCGAUCGAUCCGAUCUCCAGCGAGAUCGAUGCUCGAUCAAACGAAUCGACUACUCGUUCGCGUUCCCUUUUUUUCUUCGAAGCACAGACAAGAAAUCUAGCCGUCCUAUCGGAAAGAGACUCGAGAAAAUUGCGCGUUUUUUGCCCGUUGUCCUUGCAGACGUCUACUCUGCUUCUUUUAGCGUACAGAUCCUACGGCAGAGAGAUUUUGCUCUUCUUUCACGCGACGAUAUAUGCUACGUUCGACUCGAAGAAGAGUUAUCGUUGGCCAAGCUUCGAGCGAUAUUUCGAUACGUCGAUCGGCGAAACGUGAAAAAUCGUUCGAGUACACGCACGUGCGUAAUCAAAGAUCGAGUUGCGAUUUUUCGGAAAAUUUACCUAUAGUAUUAUUCGUUCCAUGAAUGUCACUUAUUCUUUUCAUUUUUUUUUCUAGUUUAACGCAAGAGCAAAGUAUUCGCCACAACGCAAAGGCGCAUUUUUUGUUCUUUUCUUCUCUGAACGCCUAAUGUUUGGAACGAUGUCGGUUUUUUUCUCCUUUUUAACGCGAUAACAAAUUCCUUGAAAUGUCCUUUCUCGCUUAAACUAUUUACGCAACUAAUUUUGGCAUUUUCGUUCGUCGCGAUUCGAUCGACGGAAAACGAAACGAAAAAGCUUGUCGCCGUUUGUCGUCUUUCAUUUCGCAUAAUCAUGUUUCCCUUUCCUUGUUACGAUAAUACUGUUGGUAAUAGUAGUAACGAUGAUGGCGAUGAUGACGAUGAUAUAUAUAAUAAUAAUGAUGAUCUUGACGAUAAGAAGAAACAUGAUAAAAUAAUAACAACAAUAAUAAUAACAAUAAUAAUAACGUUUCAUAGCGUUAGUAGCGUUAAUAGUAUCGUAAGUUAGUGAUAAUAGUGGUAAUAGUAGUAGUUUUAAUGACGACAUUAACGAUGACGUUUCUCUGGCAAAAAAUGAUAACGCUUUCGCAUACCGAUGAAACUAUUACCGAAUGCGAAUAUCGUUAAUUCUUAUUCGUUACACGGACUUUAUAUUCGUCCUUUUAUUUUUUACAACUCGAUACACGCGAUCGUUUAUCCUUCGAGACGAAAUCUAACGCGUGUUCGAUCCCUUAAAUGAUAUUACAAGUACCGUGGGAAAUUUCUUAGCUGAUACUAGCUAGGCUGACUUAACGAGCAUUCGUGUUAAAAAUGCCUCUUCUACGCCGUGUUCCUUCUUCUUUAAUAUAAAAUCUGUCUGUUAAAUACGAUUAGGAUAAAUUGUUCGCUAGAUUUUACGAUGCCAGCACCGCGUUUUUCCUCCACGCCGAUUAUUUUUCCUCUUUCUUCUAUCUUAAUAUUUUCACGUGGUCUGCGUUUCUUUUUUAAUUGCAACCGUGUGCUGCCGAUGCUCCGAUCGAGUUCGCUUUCGAAACAAACUUUCCGAGCGGCGAUCGACGAUUUCCAUACAAAUCGUUGGAAUAACGAGCGAUCGUUGCCAAUUUCAAAACGAUUUCAGACCGAUAUCGCGGCUAUUCGCGUAUAUGUGUACUUGUUUGGGGCAAACGAAACUACGAAUUAGAAAAUUACACCAGGUCGUAGAUCGGAGCACGUUUAUCGGCCGAAACAUUCCCCUGGAAUCGGUAAAAUCGUCGUUCAAAUCCUCUCCUGUUCGAUUCGAUUUGUGUUUGCGUUUUAUUAAACGUUCAAUACGUAUGUUCGUUGUUCUCGAAACUGUCUUCCAGUCUCUCGUCACACGUUUCUAGACAUUUUGGUUUUUCAAAAAAAAAAAAAAAAAAAAAAAAAAAAAGAAA